GACGUAGGGCGCGAGCGUUGUCCGGAUUUAUUGGGCGUAAAGAGCUCGUAGGCGGCUUGUCGCGUCGGCUGUGAAAACCCGCGGCUUAACUGCGGGCUUGCAGUUGAUACGGGCAGGCUAGAGUUCGGUAGGGGAGACUGGAACUCCUGGUGUAGCGGUGAAAUGCGCAGAUAUCAGGAGGAACACCGGUGGCGAAGGCGGGUCUCUGGGCCGAUACUGACGCUGAGGAGCGAAAGCGUGGGGAGCGAACAGG
rnacentral:rRNA from 1 species